AUUGAACGCUGGCGGCAUGCCUUACACAUGCAAGUCGAACGGCAGCGCGGACUUCGGUCUGGCGGCGAGUGGCGAACGGGUGAGUAAUGCAUCGGAACGUACCUUUCAGUGGGGGAUAACGUAGCGAAAGUUACGCUAAUACCGCAUAUUCUGUGAGCAGGAAAGCAGGGGAUCGCAAGACCUUGCGCUGAUUGAGCGGCCGAUGUCAGAUUAGCUCGUUGGUGAGGUAAAGGCUCACCAAGGCGACGAUCUGUAGCGGAGCUGAGAGGAUGGUCCGCCACACUGGGACUGAAACACGGCCCAGACUCCUACGAGAGGCAGCAGUGGGGAAUUUUGGACAAUGGGGGCAACCCUGAUCCAGCCAUGCCGCGUGAGUGAAGAAGGCCUUCGGGUUGUAAAGCUCUUUCGGCCGGGAAGAAAUCGCAUGGGUUAAUACCCUGUGUGGAUGACGGUACCGGAAUAAGAAGCACCGGCUAACUACGUGCCAGCAGCCGCGGUAACAC
rnacentral:rRNA from 1 species